GGAAUCUUCGGCAAUGGGGGCAACCCUGACCGAGCAACGCCGCGUGAGUGAAGAAGGUUUUCGGAUCGUAAAGCUCUGUUGUAAGAGAAGAACGUGUGUGAGAGUGGAAAGUUCACACAGUGACGGUAUCCAACCAGAAAGCCACGGCUAACUACGUGCCAGCAGCCGCGGUAAUACGUAGGUGGAAAGCGUUGUCCGGAUUUAUUGGGCGUAAAGCGGGCGCAGGCGGUUUUUUAAGUCUGAUGUGAAAGCCUUCGGCUUAACCGAAGAAGUGCAUUAGAAACGGUGAAACUUGAGUGCAGAAGAGGACAGUGGAACUCCAUGUGUAGCGGUGAAAUGCGUAGAUAUAUGGAAGAACACCAGUGGCGAAGGCGGCUGUCUGGUCUGUAACUGACGCUGAGGCUCGAAAGUAUGGGGAGCGAACA
rnacentral:rRNA from 1 species